rnacentral:rRNA from 1 species
CGUGUAGGCGGCCGAUUAAGUCCGGAGUGAAAGUCCUGCUUUCAAGGUGGGGAAUUGCUUUGGAAACUGGUUGGCUUGAGUGCGGAAGAGGUAAGUGGAAUUCCCAGUGUAGCGGUGAAAUGCGUAGAGAUUGGGAGGAACACCAGUGGCGAAGGCGACUUACUGGGCCGUAACUGACGCUGAGGCGCGAAAGCGUGGGGAGCGAACAG